rnacentral:misc_RNA from 1 species
GAUGAAGAACGCAGCGAAAUGCGAUAAGUAGUGUGAAUUGCAGAAUUCAGUGAAUCAUCGAAUCUUUGAACGCACAUUGCGCCCUUUGGUAUUCCAAAGGGCAUGCCUGUUCGAGCGUCAUUUGUAACCUCAAGCUUUGCUUGGUGUUGGGCGUCUUGUCUCUAGCUUUGCUGGAGACUCGCCUUAAAGUAAUUGGCAGCCGGCCUACUGGUUUCGGAGCGCAGCACAAGUCGCACUCUCUAUCAGCAAAGGUCUAGCAUCCAUUAAGCCUUUUUUUCAACUUUUGACCUCGGAUCAGGUAGGGAUACCCGCUGAACUUAAGCAUAUCAAUAAGCGGAGGA